rnacentral:rRNA from 1 species
GACGAACGCUGGCGGCGUGCCUAAUACAUGCAAGUAGGACGCAGUUGCGAACGGGUGAGUAACGCGUAGGUAACUGCCUAUCAGAGGGGGAUAACUCUUGGAAACGAUAGCUAAUACCGCAUACUAGUAGAUGGACCUGCGUUGUAUUAGCUAGUAGGUAGGGUAAUGGCCUACCUAGGCGACGAUACAUAGCCGACCUGGGAGGGGGAUCGGCCACACUGGGACUGAGACACGGCCCCGACUCCUACGGGAGGCAGCAGUAGGGACUCUUCGGGAAGUGUGGGAAACCUGACCGAGCAACGCCGCGCGAGUGAAGAAGGUUUUCGGAUCGUAAAGCUCUGUUGUGAAGGAAGCGGUACUUGACGAGAAAGGGACGGCUAACGACGUGCCAGCCGCCGCGGUAAUAC